rnacentral:lncRNA from 1 species
CCUGAUGAUAAACCUUUAUCAUCUGAGUCCUCAUCUGAAUCAGAUUAUGAAGAGGAUGUGCAAGCAAAAAAGAAGAGAAGGUGUGAAGAGCGAGAACAAGCAAAGGAAAAAGUAAAGAAGAAGAAGAAGAAACAGCACAAGAAACAUAGUAAGAAGAAGAAAAAGAAGUCUGGAUCAAGUCACAAGUCAAGGUAACAUCAAGAAAAAAAGCAAGAAUGAGUUUGCCAAGUUUCCCUGUGUUAGUAGAAUUAUUUCUGGACUUUGAGUUGCCUAUCAAAUCCCACUGUGCCAGAAAGGGGCAUAGUGGCUGCUGGCAACUUCAAUAUACAUUUUUGUUUGUUUGCUUGUCCUUCCUUCCAAUGGUUAAUUCCUCUGAGAGCUAAAAUUCUGUUGUCAUACCAGUGAAUAAAAUGUUUGAAAUUAAAGUAAAAUGUGUUAGAUAAUGAAUAACUUUGACAAAAAAAGUGUAUCUAAGGUUAAAUGUAUCUAAUUCGAGUACAUCUUUGAAAUAUCACCAUAAAUGAAACAUAAAUGUAAUUUCCAGACAAUUGUAGUUGGUAUUUUUGAUGCGAGGACUUAAUAUUGAUGUCUCAAAUUCCUUGCUUUUGUAAAUAAGCUUAGUUCAUUUUCCUUUUUUCUUUAAUGAAUCUUUGUUUACAUGGGGAAAGAGCAUGUGGGGUGGGAAGGGCAAGUGUUUGCUAAUCACUGUGGCUAGCUGAAUAGUGUGCCUUUGACUCUUACACAUCCUAUUUUUGCCAGAGCAGCAGCCGUCCUUUUCUUACUUUAUGAAAUUCUGGGGUGUUGUAUGCUGCUUCAAGUGAACAAGAAGGACAGAAGUUUACAGCAUAAGUAAGCCCCCAUAUCUAUGAAAUUUACCUCUUCUUCAGCACUGUUUACUAUACAGUACUGAAUAAUAUUUAGUAUUACAAUGUUACAUGAUUUGAAAUAACUUUAUACCCAUUUUGUAUGGGAACCAUUCUAAACAGACCCUGAUGUUGUUUGAUUAAGAAAUAUUCUGAAAUUUUUUUUGCAUGUUUUAUACUGUUAAGUUUUAAUUAUCUGACCAUAUUCUAUAUAACCGAUGAUCCUUUUUUAAGAUAUGAUUUAUGCUUAGGAUAUAAGUUUCAAGUUUUUAGUUUCUUAACCUUGCUAUAUUAAUUUCAUUACUGUGUUUAAUUGCACCCUUGCCAAAAUAUUUAGCAUGUGAAAAGGUUUUUUUUAAAAAAUAUGUAAUGCCUUCAUAUUGAAGCUGGUUACUGUACGCAAGUUGAGUGCCAGACCUCUAGUACGCCGUGUGUUACAUGAAACUACUGCCAAAAUCUUAGUAAGAUUGUUGUUGAAAAGAUUGUUGUCUUAAGCAUUAAUAUUGAAUUUAUAUAGAAGUUAAAUGUAGGUGAUAAUGACAUCAUUGAUCUUCCUGUGUCCAUAUUUUCCUACAAUUUGGUGCCUUGUAUCUGUUGCUGAUUCACUUUUACCACUAGUGUAAAAAUAAGUGAAAAAAUAUUUUUACUUUACAUUUUUAUAUAUCAGAGUAACAUAAAUUAUAAAUUUGUGUCUCAAAAACCACCUGUGAUGGAGGAUGUGCUAAUUGUAAUAUCAUAGGUACAAAGUAUUUUGGCAUGAUGAAAGGCUCAAUAGCUAUUGUUUUUAAAUAGCAGAUUUUAUCUCAGCUACCUUCAAUCACAAGUAAAAUUAUAAAGAUAAAAAACAUCUACAUAAAUAACAUGUUGGCUGCCAAAUUUUUUGCAUUGGAAAUACUGGAAUCUCUCAUUAAAGUUCUUGGAACAUUAUAGUGAUGCCAUGUUAGAUUACCUUGGAGCUUCAUAACUUUAGCUUUUUCCUGAAAAUAUAUGUUUAUGCUGAUAAAAACAAUUACAUUUAUGGGAUAUUUUGUAUCCAUAUAGAGUUUUUCAGAAUCGUUCAUUAAAAUGCCUUUUAUAAGCUUAUAUUAUUUGUAGAAUAUGGCAAAAGCAUUUACAGCUCAUCAUAUAUCUAUCUGCUCCCGUUCACUUCCAAACCUCUUGUGGUUAGGCAAUGCCAUUUGACUACUUCAAGCAGAGGGAUUGUAAACAGAAGUGAUUUUCUAUUUCCAUGUUGGACUGUAAAAAGUUCUGCAUGACCCUCCAGUUUUCUUUUGCCUGUCAUGGUGACCUGAAAGCAAGAUGUUCCAAAUGGCGUACUUACAAGACGAAUGCAACCUCGGUCCUUAGGUCGCUGUUUAGAAGGGACCUGACUGGAGUGCUAAUGGACUUGCAGUAAACUUUUUAAGUGUAAGAAAUAAACUGUUAUGUGUUAAA